rnacentral:rRNA from 1 species
GACGAACGCUGGCGGCGUGCUUAACACAUGCAAGUCGAACGAUGAAGCCGGAGCUUGCUCUGGUGAAUUAGUGGCGAACGGGUGAGUAACACGUGAGUAACCUGCCCUUGACUCUGGGAUAACUGCGGGAAACUGUAGCUAAUACCGGAUACGACCCUCGGAGGCAUCUCCUGGGGGUGGAAAGAAUUUCGGUCAAGGAUGGACUCGCGGCCUAUCAGCUAGUUGGUGAGGUAAAGGCUCACCAAGGCGACGACGGGUAGCCGGCCUGAGAGGGUGACCGGCCACACUGGGACUGAGACACGGCCCAGACUCCUACGGGAGGCAGCAGUGGGGAAUAUUGCACAAUGGGCGCAAGCCUGAUGCAGCAACGCCGCGUGAGGGAUGACGGCCUUCGGGUUGUAAACCUCUUUUAGCAGGGAAGAAGCGAAAGUGACGGUACCUGCAGAAAAAGCACCGGCUAACUACGUGCCAGCAGCCGCCGCGG